rnacentral:lncRNA from 1 species
UCUUUGGUGCUUCAAGAGAAAUUAACUAAACCUAUAGCAAAUAUUAUUAUUACUACUACUACUACUACUACAAUAAUAAUUUUAUUUCUUAUCCGCCUCUCCUCGUGGCUUGAGGCAGGUCACAGCAGAGUCAAAACACACAAUCAUUGCAAAAAUUCUAUAAACACACAUAUCAAAAUGUAAUUCUAUAAAAGAUACAUAUUAAAACGUAUUUCUAGAAAAUACAUAUUAAAUGCACAGGGCAGCAAUUAAAACACAGGGCACAAGUUUAAAGUCACGUUUAACUGGCUGGGUAUUAUGUAGCACAUAUGUGAAGAAAGAAACAAAUGACAUAUAAAAACUCAUUUAGAUUGUGGCUGUCAUCUUGCUCACGACACACUCACGUGUAAGUUAACCCUAGGUCUGUGUCGUAUUUCCUUCUUCCCUCCAUAGCAACCAAAGCACCCAUUCCAGACACUACCAUUUUGCUGUAGAAGGCACCCUUUCCACUUCUGUUCAAGCCUGGAGGAUAGCAAGGGAGGGAUUAGAGAAACUGCCAUAGCCAGAAGCAAAAUGGUUGCACCCAUUGCAGAGACCUCCAAAAGACCACAGCAAUGGAUGAUGUAAUUGCUAUAUGUCUCACUACAGCGGCAUACCAAAUGCUUCUAUAAUUUCCCCUCUCUCCUCUAGGAUUGAAUAAAGAGAGAAAGCCUCUCUAGGGAGUCAAGGGAGUUCUAAAUGGCUUAGUGCAGUCUAGUUCCACAUACACAACUAUUAUGCUAUGCUGUGCCAUGUAGGGUUGCAGUCACUAUUUUCUUUCUUGUACAAAUGGUUUGGCAGUGUAAUGUAUGAAAUGGCUCCAGCUCAUGAAUACAGAUUCAGCAUCCUUUAUCUGGAAUUCUAAAAUCCAAAAUACUUUCUGAUGGUUCAAAUGUACACAAACUUUGUUUCAUGCACAAACAUAUUUAAAAUAUGAAUAAUGUGCAUAAGGUAUAUAAGGUAUAUAUGAAACAUGGCGUGAAGAUAACUUUAAAUACUAUUUUAAUAUUUUUGUGCAUGAAACGAAAUGUAUGUACACUAAACCAUCAGAAAGCAAAGGGGUUGCUAUCUCAACAACCAUCCAUGCAGACAAUUUUGGAAGAGGAGGAGGAGGUUGUUAUUACGGCUGAUAAUAUAACCAUGGAUAAUAACUUUAUGGUAUUUUUAUUGUGUAAGUAGAAAUACCUAUAUAACAAUUGUAAUUCAGCAAAUUUUAUUUCUGGUGCUAAUAAUAUGAAUUCCAUAAAUUGGGAAAAAAGAAGUAAUAAAUCCAAUCAAUAAAUAAAUUCAACAAAAAAUAAAUAAACUGCAUAAACUAGAAGUCCUCUAGAUGUAGCCUUCCAGUUCAGUUUUUGGUAAUGGGUGAUGGGAGUUGUCAUCCAAUUAUCUGAAGAAAUAUGGUCUAUUUAUUUAUUUAUUUAUUACAUCACUUCAACCCCGCCCUUCUCACCCAUCAGGGGACUCAGGGCGGCUUACAAUAUAAACAUACACAUUAAAAACAGUUGUCGUCAAAUUUAAAACUCCAUCAAGAUUAAAAAUUACAAUAAAAUUAAGAAUAUCCAUUAAAAUAUACAUAAUUAUACAUUUAAAUAUAUAUUUCCAUGUUCAUGUGGGGUCUGUCAGUAGGUCAUAUAUUCUUAUCUCAUUUUUGCUGCUACUCAUGCUCAAAUGCCUGGUCCCAUAACCACGUUUUUGUCCUCUUUCGGAAAGACAGGAGGGAGGGAGCCUGCCUGAUUUCAAUGGGGAGGGCGUUCCAUAGGCGGGGAGCCACCACUGAAAAGGCCCUGUCUCUCGUCAACUCUGGGUGUAAACACUCAGACUUGUGACUGUAUUCAUAGAUUUUUGUUUAAAAAAUCAUUUUCUUCCUUUUUUUCUUUUCUUUUUUUUUGAAGCCCCACCUGGAAAUGUUAAUAUUCCAGCAAGUAAGAUACACCAAGCUUGGACAUGUAUGCUGGCUACUGUAGUCAAGACUAUUUUAUUUUUGUGUUUUAUUUUAGGCAAUGGUUUCUUUUUAUAACAAAUAUAUAACCCACAGGGCCCAUAAUGUAGGAGCUCCCACGGUUCUCCCAGAGGUAUCCAAAUGACAUCUCCGGUAAAACAGAAUUAAUUCAAAACAAAGCAGGAAAACCCUACUUUGCCCUGAAUUAAUCUGAUACUCUGUCAGAUCCUGGUCUUCCUGAAAGACCUGGGUCUAAUUGAGUGUGGGCCCUGUGGGGACUGACACCUCAGUAGUCCCAGGUCAUUCCCCACAGCCCAAUUUGCUUCUUUGGGCCCCGUGGGCCCAGAGAUGUGAAGAGGGAACACACCCUCUCCGCAAAUCCCUCCCUGAAACCUUUAAAAUAAAAGAAAAACUUCCCGGGCCACCAUUAGGCUUUUUG